AAGGGAGACCUAAUUCAGGUAGGAGACGAAAAAAAAGUAGUCGCUACCAAGAAUCAAUCCCAGAAGGUCGGAGCGAGGCGAAAUUGGCUUUCAAACUAGGUUCUGGGUUCACACAAGACCUGAAUCAGGAACAAGGGCUAUUAGCUCAGGUGGUUAGAGCGCACCCCUGAUAAGGGUGAGGUCCCUGGUUCGAGUCCAGGAUGGCCCACCUGUACAGGUGGCAAAAAGAAAGAAAAGAAGCGAGGAAUCAGCACCUUAUCUUACUGACAUAGUAAGAGAGAAUGCUGGCUCUGAGUAAAGAGUCCAGAGGAACCUUGAAAACUGCAUAGAGCUAGGUGAAAAAGCCAAAAAAGAAGACCGCAA
rnacentral:tRNA from 1 species